rnacentral:rRNA from 1 species
ACGGAGGGCGCAAGCGUUAAUCGGAAUUACUGGGCGUAAAGCGUGCGUAGGAUGUUUGGUAAGUCAGGCGUGAAAGCCCUCGGCUUAACCGGGGAACUGCGCUUGAUACUGCCGAACUUGAAUCCCCGGGAGGGUGGCGGAAUUCCAGGUGUAGCGGUGAAAUGCGUAGAUAUCAGGAGGAACACCGGUGGCGAAGGCAGCCCCCUGCAGAGUUAUUGACGCUGAGGCACGAAAGCGUGGGGAGCAAACAG